GCGUGACGGGUUUUUCUGAGCGCAUUGUAAACGGCGAGUAAAUUAGUGAAGUAGCAGCGCAGCAAAGCGCUGAGCUUAGCAUUGUGUUAAGUGAAGGGAAGCAAAAGAAAGCUGCGACGUGCAUUGGGUGUCGACUUUUGUGGUUGAACUAGUUGAUCAUCCAGAGAUUUGAUAAUUUAUAAAGCUUCAGAGGCGGCAAAUACAUAGUGGCAACAUACUAAGUAGUGAAAAAUAAAAAUACCAAAAAAAGAAAGUAUUUUCGUGACUUGUGUUUCGUCGCUGUCCAAAGUGAAAAUUAAUUGCCCUUCUUAGCAAAAAUGAAGUGAAUAAAACUACAAUAUUAACAGCAUCAAAACUUGAAUACAACAACAGCAAACUUGCAAACGAAGCAGUCAAGUGUGUGCUGUGCAUAAAUAUAAAUAAGUAGCACAUAUGGAUAAAUCUCCUGUUUCCUGCGGAAGUCAUUACGUUUGUGAUUGUGUUGGCGAAUGCGAAAGACGAAAGUGCAGCCAAUCAGUGAUAUCUGGAACAUGUGAGACAACCGAGUCCCAACAGCAAUAACUGAGAAAUGAAACUGUCAAAACACCAGGAGAAUGCCAAACUCUGUCAACUGCGCUGUAAAGUAUGCAACAGAUAAUUAAGAACCAAAAUUAAACAAAUUUAUGAUUCCAAUAUAAACCAAACUACAAAAAUUCGCAAGUGACAGCGAAAGUGAAAUUCCGCGCGAAUAUUUCGAAUGAUUACUCUUGAUAAAUACCUAAUAUGCGGAGCAUGUGCCAGUGAACACUGAAAAUAAUAAGAGUGGAAAAGAAAAAUAAUGCAACAUAAAAUAAUAGAAAACAAAAAUAGCACAAAAGAAAACAUAUUCAUCACAGAUUGAUUGAAAACCUUAAAAAAAAAGUUUGCGAACGAAAUGAAAUGCAAAUGUGUACGAAAACGUAACGCAGCAAAGCAUUUGAAAAUAUGCACGAGUGUUUGAAAAUUCAAACCAUCAAAAAACAAAGAAAGUGCUAAAAAAAGUGUUGACGAAAAGUGCAAAAAAUUCGAAUACCAAACCAACGAAGCGUGAAAAUGCUUUGCCAAGCAAAAACUCGCAAGCAAAAACUAGUAUGUGUGUGUG